rnacentral:rRNA from 1 species
CCUACGGGUGGCAGCAGUGAGGAAUAUUGGUCAAUGGCCGGAAGUCUGAACCAGCCAUGCCGCGUGAAGGUCAGUGCCCUUUGGGCGUUAAACUUCUUUUGUGCGGGAACAAUAAUGGUGACGGUUGACCAGUCGAGAUUUCCCUACUAAUUAGCAUUGGCUAACUCCGUGCCAGCAGCCGCGGUAAUACGUGAGAUGCCAGCGUUAUCCGGAUUUUAUGGGUUUUAAGGGUGAGUAGGCGGGGAUGUAAGUCAGCGGUGAAAAGUUCCCGGCCAAAGGGGUAAAUUGCAAUUGAUACUGGCUUGCUGGAGUGCAGAAGAGGUGGGAGGAAUUCGUGGUGUAGCGGUGAAAUGCAUAGAUAUCACGAAGAACACCGAGUGCGAAGGCAGCUCACGAAUCCGCGAUUGACGCUGAUGCUCGAAAGCGUGGGUAUCAAACAGGAUUAGAUACCCCUGUAGUC